rnacentral:rRNA from 1 species
AACGAACGCUGGCGGCAUGCCUAACACAUGCAAGUCGAACGAGACCUUCGGGUCUAGUGGCGCAUGGGUGCGUAACGCGUGGGAACCUGCCCUUAGGUUCGGAAUAACUCCCCGAAAGGGGUGCUAAUACCGGAUAAUGUCUUCGGACCAAAGAUUUAUCGCCUUUGGAUGGGCCCGCGUUGGAUUAGCGAGUUGGUAGGGUAAAAGCCUACCAAGGCGACGAUCCAUAGCUGGUCUGAGAGGAUGAUCAGCCACACUGGGACUGAGACACGGCCCAGACUCCUACGGGAGGCAGCAGUGGGGAAUAUUGGACAAUGGGCGAAAGCCUGAUCCAGCAAUGCCGCGUGAGUGAUGAAGGCCUUAGGGUUGUAAAGCUCUUUUACCCGGGAUGAUAAUGACAGUACCGGGAGAAUAAGCACCGGCUAACUCCGUG